rnacentral:rRNA from 1 species
GUUCCGCUGCUUUUGACCCGUCUUGGUGGCGAUGCGCAGCUGUGCAGUGUGGUGCUUCUGCGUUCCGCUGCUUUUGACCCGUCUUGGUGGCGAUGCGCAGCUGUGCAGUGUGGUGCUUCUGCGUUCCGCUGCUUUUGAUCCGUCUUGGUGGCGAUGCGCAGCUGUGCAGUGUGGUGCUUCUGCGUUCCGCUGCUUUUGACCCGUCUUGGUGGCGAUGCGCAGCUGUGCAGUGUGGUGCUUCUGCGUUCCGCUGCUUUUGACCCGUCUUGGUGGCGAUGCGCAGUUGUGCAGUGUGGUGCUUCUGCGUUCCGCUGCUUUUGACCCGUCUUGGUGGCGAUGCGCAGCUGUGCAGUGUGGUGCUUCUGCGUUCCGCUGCUUUUGACCCGUCUUGGUGGCGAUGCGCAGCAGUGCAGUGUGGUGCUUCUGCGUUCCGCUGCUUUUGACCCGUCUUGGUGGCGAUGCGCAGCUGUGCAGUGUGGUGCUUCUGCGUUCCGCUGCUUUUGACCCGUCUUGGUGGCGAUGCGCAGCAGUGCAGUGUGGUGCUUCUGCGUUCCGCUGCUUUUGACCCGUCUUGGUGGCGAUGCGCAGCAGUGCAGUGUGGUGUUCUGCGUUCCGCUGCUUUUGACCCGUCUUGGUGGCGAUGCGCAGCAGUGCAGUGUGGUGGUUCUGCGUUCCGCUGCUUUUGACCCGUCUUGGUGGCGAUGCGCAGCUGUGCAGUGUGGUGCUUCUGCGUUCUGCUGCUUUUGACCCGUCUUGGUGGCGAUGCGCAGCAGUGCAGUGUGGUGCUUCUGCGUUCCGCUGCUUUUGACCCGUCUUGGUGGCGAUGCGCAGCUGUGCAGUGUGGUGCUUCUGCGUUCCGCUGCUUUUGACCCGUCUUGGUGGCGAUGCGCAGCUGUGCAGUGUGGUGCUUCUGCGUUCCGCUGCUUUUGACCCGUCUUGGUGGCGAUGCGCAGCUGUGCAGUGUGGUGCUUCUGCGUUCCGCUGCUUUUGACCCGUCUUGGUGGCGAUGCGCAGCUGUGCAGUGUGGUGCUUCUGCGUUCCGCUGCUUUUGACCCGUCUUGGUGGCGAUGCGCAGCUGUGCAGUGUGGUGCUUCUGCGUUCCGCUGCUUUUGACCCGUCUUGGUGGCGAUGCGCAGCUGUGCAGUGUGGUGCUUCUGCGUUCCGCUGCUUUUGACCCGUCUUGGUGGCGAUGCGCAGCUGUGCAGUGUGGUGCUUCUGCGUUCCGCUGCUUUUGACCCGUCUUGGUGGCGAUGCGCAGCAGUGCAGUGUGGUGCUUCUGCGUUCCGCUGCUUUUGACCCGUCUUGGUGGCGAUGCGCAGCUGUGCAGUGUGGUGCUUCUGCGUUCCGCUGCUUUUGACCCGUCUUGGUGGCGAUGCGCAGCAGUGCAGUGUGGUGCUUCUGCGUUCCGCUGCUUUUGACCCGUCUUGGUGGCGAUGCGCAGCUGUGCAGUGUGGUGCUUCUGCGUUCCGCUGCUUUUGACCCGUCUUGGUGGCGAUGCGCAGCUGUGCAGUGUGGUGCUUCUGCGUUCCGCUGCUUUUGACCCGUCUUGGUGGCGAUGCGCAGCUGUGCAGUGUGGUGCUUCUGCGUUCCGCUGCUUUUGACCCGUCUUGGUGGCGAUGCGCAGCUGUGCAGUGUGGUGCUUCUGCGUUCCGCUGCUUUUGACCCGUCUUGGUGGCGAUGCGCAGCUGUGCAGUGUGGUGCUUCUGCGUUCCGCUGCUUUUGACCCGUCUUGGUGGCGAUGCGCAGCUGUGCAGUGUGGUGCUUCUGC